UACAGAAGCCUCAAGCGUUACCCGGAUUUAUUGGGCGUAAAGGAUGCGUAGGCGGUUAUAUUAGUCGGAUGUUAAAUCCUGGGGCUCAACCCCAGGUUCGCAUUCGAAACGGUAUAACUAGAAGAAGUGAGAGGUGAACAGAACUCUCGGUGUAGGGGUGAAAUCCGUUGAUAUCGAGGGGAAUACCAAAUGCGAAGGCAGUUCACUGGCACUUUCUUGACGCUGAGGCAUGAAAGCGUGGGUAGCGAAUCGG
rnacentral:rRNA from 1 species